rnacentral:rRNA from 1 species
GACGAACGCUGGCGGCGUGCUUAACACAUGCAAGUCGAGCGGUAAGGCCCUUUCGGGGGUACACGAGCGGCGAACGGGUGAGUAACACGCGGGUGACCUGCCCUUAGCUCUGGGAUAAGCCUGGGAAACUGGGUCUAAUACCGGAUAUGACUCCAUGACGCAUGUUGUGGGGUGGAAAGCCUUGUGCGGCUAGGGAUGGGCCCGCGGCCUAUCAGCUUGUUGGUGGGGUGANGGCCUACCAAGGCGACGACGGGUAGCCGGCCUGAGAGGGCGACCGGCCACACUGGGACUGAGACACGGCCCAGACUCCUACGGGAGGCAGCAGUGGGGAAUCUUGCGCAAUGGGCGAAAGCCUGACGCAGCGACGCCGCGUGAGGGAUGACGGCCUCGGUGUAACGUACUUCUA